AGCCAUCUGAUAAGCACAUAGCGAACUAUUCUUUCGCCUUUUACUAAAGAAUACCGUGUGCUUCUCACAUAAAGUGGCAUAAACUUAUUUUUUGAGGGAUUCCUUUUAUUGAGGGCU